rnacentral:rRNA from 1 species
GACGAACGCUGGCGGCGUGCCUAAUACAUGCAAGUCGAACGCAGUGGGGACGGGUGAGUAACACGUGGGUAACCUCCCAUCAGAGGGGAUAACACUUGGAAACAGGUGCUAAACCGCUACUGAUGGAUGGACCCGCGGUGCAUUAGCUAGUUGGUGAGGUAACGGCUCACCAAGGCCACGAUGCAUAGCGGGCCUGAGAGGGGGAUCGGCCACACGGGGACUGAGACACUGCCCAGACUCCUACGUGAGGCAGCAGUAGGGCAUCGUCGGCAAUGGGCGAAAGUCUGACCGGGCAACGCCGCGUGAGUGAAGAAGGUUUUCGGAUCGUAAAACUCUGUUGUUAGGGAAGCGGUACCUAAUCAGAAAGCCACGGCUAACUACGUGCCAGCAGCCGCGGUAAUUC